rnacentral:tRNA from 1 species
UCGAAAUUGGUAGCCGCUGCGGACUUAAAAUCCGUUGGCUUUUUAGACCGUGAGGGUUCAAGUCCCUCUACCCCCA